UACGUAGGGUGCGAGCGUUAAUCGGAAUUACUGGGCGUAAAGCGUGCGCAGGCGGUUCGUUGUGUCCGUCGUGAAAGCCCCGGGCUUAACCUGGGAACUGCGAUGGAAACUAGCGAGCUGGAGUGUGGCAGAGGGGGGUGGAAUUCCGCGUGUAGCAGUGAAAUGCGUAGAGAUGCGGAGGAACACCGAUGGCGAAGGCAGCCCCCUGGGCUAGCACUGACGCUCAGGCACGAAAGCGUGGGGAGCAAACAGG
rnacentral:rRNA from 1 species